rnacentral:tRNA from 1 species
UCCCUGGUGGUCCAGUAGUUAGCACUUUGCACUCUCAGAGCGGAGGGCCUGGGUUCAAUCCCUAGUUGGGGAA